GGUAAGCGGUCGCUUUUGCAUCUUGCAAAAGAGGAAAGUCCGAGCUGCGAUAAGACAAAGUUCCAUCUAACGGAUGGCUAGGGAAACCUAAGGGAUAGUGUAACAGAAAGCAAACUUCCGCCUUGGCGGUAAAGGUGAAACGGCGGGGUAAGAGCCCACCGGCACGCUUGGUAACUUGCGUGGCCAUAUAAACCCAACUUGCAGUAAGAAGGGAUGGUUUUGGUCUUAUAUUAAAACCCUUCGCUAGAGCUUGUUUGUAAAAGCAAGCGUAGAUAAAUGAUCGCUCAAGACAGAACUCGGCUUAACGCCGUGCC
rnacentral:RNase_P_RNA from 1 species